GAUGAACGCGGGCGGCGUGCCUAAUACAUGCAAGUAGAACGAUGAAGCUUGGUGCUGCACCGAGCGGGAUGAGUUGCGAACGGGUGAGUAACGCGUAGGUAACCUGCAUGGUAGCGGGGGAUAACUAUUGGAAACGAUAGCUAAUACCGCAUAACAGUAGAUAUUGCAUGAUAUCUGCUUGAAAGGGGCAAUUGCUCCACUACCAGAUGGACCUGCGUUGUAUUAGCUAGUUGGUGAGGUAACGGCUCACCAAGGCGACGAUACAUAGCCGACCUGAGAGGGUGAUCGGCCACACUGGGACUGAGACACGGCCCAGACUCCUACGGGAGGCAGCAGUAGGGAAUCUUCGGCAAUGGACGGAAGUCUGACCGAGCAACGCCGCGUGAGUGAAGAAGGUUUUCGGAUCGUAAAGCUCUGUUGUAAGAGAAGAACGAGUGUGAGAGUGGAAAGUUCACACUGUGACGGUAUCUUACCAGAAAGGGACGGCUAACUACGUGCCAGCAGCCGCGGUAAUACGUAGGUCCCGAGCGUUAUCCGGAUUUAUUGGGCGUAAAGCGAGCGCAGGCGGUUAGAUAAGUCUGAAGUUAAAGGCUGUGGCUUAACCAUAGUACGCUUUGGAAACUGUUUAACUUGAGUGCAAGAGGGGAGAGUGGAAUUCCAUGUGUAGCGGUGAAAUGCGUAGAUAUAUGGAGGAACACCGGUGGCGAAAGCGGCUCUCUGGCUUGUAACUGACGCUGAGGCUCGAAAGCGUGGGGAGCAAACAGG
rnacentral:rRNA from 1 species